rnacentral:rRNA from 1 species
UCUCCUACGGGCGGCAGCAGUGGGGAAUAUUGGACAAUGGGGGGAACCCUGAUCCAGCCAUGCCGCGUGUGUGAAGAAGGCCUUAUGGUUGUAGAGCACUUUAAGCGAGGAGGAGGCUACUGAGACUAAUACUCUUGGAUAGUGGACGUUACUCGCAGAAUAAGCACCGGCUAACUCUGGGCCAGCAGCCGCGGUAAUAACGAGGGUGCGAGCGUUAAUCGGAUUUACUGGGCGUAAAGCGUGCGUAGGCGGGUUUUUAAGUCGGAGGUGAAAUCGCCGAGCUUAACUUGGGAAUUGCAUUCGAUACUGGGAAGCUAGAGUAUGGGAGAGGAUGGUAGAAUUCCAGGUGUAGCGGUGAAAUGCGUAGAGAUCUGGAGGAAUACCGAUGGCGAAGGCAGCCAUCUGGCCUAAUACUGACGCUGAGGUACGAAAGCAUGGGGAGCAAACAGGAUUAGAUACCCCAGUAGUCCC